ACUUCAGACUUGGACUGGAGCUAAAUCACCAGCUUUCCAGGGUCUCCAACUCACCAACUAUUGAACUUGGGACUUUGUAGCCUUCACAGUCAUCUGUGCUCCACGGUGACGCAGCCAUGCUGGACCAGUUCAGACUAAACACAUAUACAUCAUUGUCUUCAUGUGUGCUUCUAAUGUGUCCACAUCAAACUCUGGAGAGGACUCUUGGGGACAGUAAAUGGGGCUGAGACCACCUCGAAGUAAUUUUCAACGUGCGUACCUGUCAUCCUCCCGUCACUUCUCCUGGAGCAGCCUCAGGGCAAGCCCACCGGGGCAAUGAUUCCAUGUUUCCAUCCAACCGCUAAACUCAUCCUUCAUGACCUGGGCCCAGGCCAACUCACCAGAUCGAGCUCCUAAGAAGAGAGCAUAUUGUGUGGUUGACAGGAAUUCCACUGAGAAGAGCUGGUCACCUCUUGGCUUCUUUAAUUGUUCCUCAUAAGGAACAUUUACGAUAUCAUGACGGGUGUUUGGAGGGAUGUUCAGACAGUAAUUUACUUGGGGGUAGAAAAACCAACCUUAUAAACACUGAAAAGAAGACAAAGCAUAUCAAAGGUUGCAUUUUUCUCUUUCACUCAAUAUUGAACAAAUAUUUAUUAAAUAUCCACCAUGUGUCAGACAUUACUCUGUGCUCUGGAGGCUCAAGGAAAUGAGAAUCAAUUGUGCCUUCAUCAAAAUCCCAGCUAACCAGGCAGGCAGUGUGAUAAGCUCUCUGGUCAGCUAAGUACACAUGCAGACCAGAUUCCCACUGAGGACUUGGGAAGGUUCUCAAGCAAAUGGUAAUUCAGCCGAGACUUAAGGGAUCAUCUCAGAGUUACUCAUGAGAGAACAGGCAGCACACAUAUGGGAAAAGUGUGUUCCUAUUAGAAACGGGUGUAUAAGAAAGCAUAGGGAUAAAAAAAAAAUAGCGCUGGUCAUUAAAAAUGACAAAUCAAGUGAUGGCAGCUGGAACACUGAGUGUGCAGAAAAGUGGCCAUGGGGAGGCUGCAUAAGUAGACAGGGAACCCCACAAUGAAGGGACUUAGAAGCAAUAUUGGGACAUUCAGACUUUUUCCUAAGAGCACAAAAGAGCCAGUAAAGCCCUUUAAGCAAGAUCCUAACCACAAAUCCUAAAUAAAAAUGCUUGUAGAAGGGUCAUAUCUGCCACAUUCAUUCGAUCAGAGUCUACCAAGUUCCAGACUCUAGGCUGGACCUUGCAUGGACUGUACAUCAUCAACUGAAUCUAAGAAAACUUAAGAAAGCUCUCUUUCAGAGUUUGCCAAAGUCUGAAAAAAAGAGGGGAAACAGAAAGAAGAGUAGAUUAGUGUGAUGCUUAGUUUUAUGGGUCAAUAGGCUCAGAGGUGGUGCCCAGUGGUUUGGUCAAACUGUAGUUUAGAUGUUGCUAUGAAGGUCUUUUGUAGAUAUGAUAAACAUUUAUAAUCAGUUGACUUAAAUAAAGCACAUCAUCCUCUUUCGUGUAAGGGGCCUCAUCCAAUCAGCCAAGAGCCUGAGGUGCAAAAAUCAAGGUUUCCCAGAGAAACAGGAAUUCUGCCUCAAGACUAUAACAUGGAAACUCUGCCUGAAUUUCCAGUCGGCUGACCUGCCCUGAGGCUUUGAGACUCAAGACUGCUACAGCAACAUUUACGUGAAUGUCCAGCCUGCCAGCCCCAAUAAUCACUUACUUAAAAUUAAUCUCUAGAUAAAUUGACAGUAGAUAGAUAUAAGGAAAUGUAUACACACACACACAGUUGGUUCUAUAUCUGUAUCAUCAGAUCUCUGACUUCUAUAACCAGGAGUCUGAAAACCCACUCCAAUCUCCCCUCUCUAUCAUCUGACUUCUCUGAGCCCAUUGUCUCAUCAGCAUAAUAGAGACUAAUCACCCUCCUUUAGCACCAUGGCUGGCACAUAGUAGGUGCUUCAAAUCAUUUCUUUUCCCCUUUCCUUGAUUGAUUGAUAGGAUAGCUACAUAUCCAAUGAAGGGGCAUUUUUCUGCUGACACAGGCUGCACUUGAUGAAAUCUGAUCUAGAAUGGGAAAUACUAAACAAAAUAAAAAAGAAUUUACUCUCCGAGUAUUAUUGCCACUGUGAUGGAUGGCUGCUCCAAAGGCUAUUUCUCAAGAGUUCACAGUAGAGAAAAAUGUUCAGGCUUGAUUUUGUAUGCGUGUAGAAAAUAAAUUGUAUGACAAGGGUGGCGACAUUUGGACGGGGGAGAGGGCUUAGCCAAGGAAUUAAACAUGUCAGGAGCCUCCAAAGAAAAAGAAUGUUGAAAUGGAAGGUGAAAGGGGCAUAUUUGGAAAACUUGACAAGUGGCACAGUGGGAGGAAAGGUGGCAUUCUGGAAUGGGGUGUCAGCCACUCUCUGCCACUAAAGCCACGAUUUGCCCUUAAUAAUUCAGCGAGGUAGAAAGGAAAAAAUAUGAGCCCAACUUCUAAAGCUCUAUUAUCACAACUGGCUUAAAUUAUUUUCCCUUGCUUAAUUGACCACACAGCAAACAGAGAGAGAAUAAAAUCAGCCAGGGCUUUUUUUUUUUUUUUUAAAAAAAAAACGCCGGGGGUUUUUUUUUUUUUUUUUUUUUUUCUUUUAAAUGGAAUCUUUGCCUAGGUAAUCUCUCAAGUUCCUGUCAACAAAACUCCCAACAUUAGAAAUAAACGAGACCCUGGGAGACAAAAUAACUGGAAUAAUGUCACACAGAACAUAAGUAGAAAACCCAAGUAGAAAACCCAGGCCUGGGAGCUCCCAACCUCAGGGCUUUGCAAGGAAUGAAGAGUAUUAUCCUGGCAAGGAUGGCACACAGGUUGCAGUCAGCACACCAACUUUAAUUGAUUAAUUGUGCUGGGUUGAGGUGUGUGAGAGCAAAUGCAGGUUCACCAUGAAAGCAGGGCUUAAUUGAUUAGUGAUAUCUGUCAUGGGAGCCAGAGGUUCUCCAGGCAGGCCAAAUAUUUGUCAUUCCUUAUCUGGUCUAACUUUUUCUUUUUUCCCCUGUAUUACAGGUCUGCAAAAUAUAGCUGGUGGGCCAAAUUGGGCCUACUGCCUGUUUUUAUAAAUAAAAUUUUACUA
rnacentral:lncRNA from 1 species